rnacentral:rRNA from 1 species
GACGAACGCUGGCGGCGUGCUUAACACAUGCAAGUCGAACGGAAAGGCCCUGCUUGCAGGGUACUCGAGUGGCGAACGGGUGAGUAACACGUGGGUUAUCUGCCCUGCACUUCGGGAUAAGCCUGGGAAACUGGGUCUAAUACCGGAUAGGAGCCAUUUUUAGUGUGAUGGUUGGAAAGUUUUUUCGGUGUAGGAUGAGCUCGCGGCCUAUCAGCUUGUUGGUGGGGUAAUGGCCUACCAAGGCGGCGACGGGUAGCCGGCCUGAGAGGGUGGACAGCCACAUUGGGACUGAGAUACGGCCCAGACUCCUGCGGGAGGCAGCAGUGGGGAAUAUUGCACAAUGGGCGCGAGCCUGAUGCAGCGACGCCGCGUGGGGGAUGACGGCCUUCGGGUUGUAAACUCCUUUCGCUAGGGACGAAGCUUUUUGUGACGGUACCUAGAGAAGAAGCACCGGCUAACUACGUG